CCGCCGAGAAAAGCUGCUAUUGUGUAAUGCGUGCCCGUACCGUAAACCGACACAGGUGGAUGAGGAGAGAAUCCUAAGGCCGGCGGAAGAAGCAUUGUUAAGGAAUUCGGCAAAAUGACCCCGUAACUUCGGGAGAAGGGGUGCCUGCGAGAGCAGGCCGCAGAGAAUAGGCUCAAGCAACUGUUUAGCAAAAACACAGGUCUACGCGAAACCGAAAGGUGAAGUAUAUGGGCUGACGCCUGCCCGGUGCUGGAAGGUUAAGAGGAGAGGUUAGCUUCGGCGAAGCUUUGAAUUUAAGCCCCAGUAAACGGCGGCCGUAACAAUAGCGGUCCUAAGGUAGCGAAAUUCCUUGUCGGGUAAGUUCCGACCCGCACGAAAGGCGUAAUGAUUUGAGCACUGUCUCGACAAUGCAACCGGUGAAAUUGAAGUACCAGUGAAGAUGCUGGUUACCCGCGCCAGGACGGAAAGACCCCAUGGAGCUUUACUCCAGUUUGAUACUGGGAUUCGGUACUGCAUGUACAGGAUAGGUGGGAGACUAAGAAGGAUGGACGCCAGUCUGUCCGGAGUCGCUGUUGGGAUACCACCCCUGUAGUACUGGGUUUCUAACCAGUUGCCAUGAACUGGCAAUGGGACAAUGUCAGGCGGGGAGUUUGACUGGGGCGGUCGCCUCCGAAAGGGUAUCGGAGGCGCUCAAAGGUUCCCUCAGAAUGGUUGGAAACCAUUUGAAGAGUGCAAAGGCAGAAGGGAGCUUGACUGCGACACCGACGGGUGGAGCAGGUACGAAAGUAGGACUUAGUGAUCCGGUGGUAUAAAGUGGGAUUGCCAUCGCUCAACGGAUAAAAGCUACCCUGGGAUAACAGGCUUAUCACUCCCAAGAGUUCACAUCGACGGAGUGGUUUGGCACCUCGAUGUCGGCUCAUCGCAUCCUGGGGCUGUAGCAGGUCCCAAGGGUUGGGCUGUUCGCCCAUUAAAGCGGUACGCGAGCUGGGUUCAGAACGUCGUGAGACAGUUCGGUCCCUAUCCGGCGUGGGCGGAGGAUAUUUGAGAGGAGCUGUCCUUAGUACGAGAGGACCGGGAUGGACGGACCACUGGUGUAUCUGUUGUCGACCAACGGCAUGGCAGAGUAGCCAAGUCUGGAAGGGAUAAACGCUGAAGGCAUCUAAGCGUGAAGCCCCCCUCAAGAUGAGAUAUCCCUCCUUCGGGAGUAAGACCCCUUGAAGACUACAAGGUAGAUAGGGCAGAGGUGGAAGCAUGGCAACAUGUGGAGCUGACUGUUACUAAUAGGUCGAGGGCUUAAU
rnacentral:rRNA from 1 species